rnacentral:rRNA from 1 species
UACAGAGGUCUCGAGCGUUAGGCGGAAUCACUGGGCUUAAAGCGUGUGUAGGCGGAUCGUUAAGUGCCUUGUGAAAUCCCACGGCUCAACCGUGGAACUGCUUGGCAUACUGGCGGUCUUGAGCAACCUAGGGGCGAGCGGAACAAAUGGUGGAGCGGUGAAAUGCGUAGAUAUCAUGUGGAACGCCAAUGGUGAAAACAGCUCGCUGGGGGUUUGCUGACGCUGAGACACGAAAGCCAGGGGAGCAAACGGG